AUGAACCUCAGCCUUCUCUCAGCCUGGAGAACCCUGCAGCUCCCUGACCUAAGAGCUCAGAUCAACAUCGCACACACCCUGAGCCCCGGCAGCCAAACCUUGAGGAGGGCAGAUGCUCUAAGGGCCCCGAGAGACCAGAGAGCUGCAGUGUGCAGCAUAGGUGCAGCUACAGGACUGUGGAAGCUCAGCAUUAAAAAGGACAUGAUGGCAGCUGUGAAGUGUUCAGCAGUUCAACUAGGCUUACGGUGCUGGUGUGGUCUAUCACAGAUACAUCUUACUGAAGACUGACAUGUCUAUGACAAGACUUGGAUGAUAAUGUUCUCUCUGGUUUAUGGAAAAAGUGAGGAAAAAAUUGCCAAGAAGCAGCAUCAUUAAAAAUGAUGAUGCCUUUCCAGUUUUCUCUGGUGUGGCUGUCUCCUAUUCCCCUGAGAUUUUGAAUCUGGGAGCUGUUACAGAGAGAAGGCUUGGGAUAUAUGCACUGCUCUCAGUUUCCAGCAAAAUGGAUGGGAACCAGGACCACUUUCAGCAACAAGCUCCUUCAGACCAUGCAUUGGGAGUCCCCAUCUCCUGAUACCCAGAAGGAGAAGAAGGGCCAUGUGCUGCCAUCCAAGGGAAGGUGGGGUUAAGCAUUACACUCCUUUAGAGCAAAACUGGACCCUGGAAACUCCACCCAGCUCUCUGGUUUUACUUGCAUUAUACUGUUUGCAGUGAAUUGAGGCUGACUGGGUACAUUGUGGUAUUCUGCAUUCAUUUAAGCCUUCACAAUACAGGUCACGGAUAGCCUGCUCUGGCCACCUCCAAGCAAGUGAAAGCAACAUGGUUCCUCUGUUAGACACUUUCUAAAUCCAGCACAGUGCUGUCUUCAUCUUUGGAUGCCCAAGUAUCCUAAACAUGCCUAAAUAUCUUCCUAUUAAAUUAUGAGUGAGAAACUGAUUAAUUGUUCCCUGACCUUCAGUUUCUUCAUUGAGACUGUGUCACCAAACCAUAUUUUAUGUCACUAGGAGACAGCAGAUGUAAAUCAAAUAUCUGUCUGCUCUAGAAUAUCUAACAAGGGAGGAAAUUACUUCCAUCCGUUAACAUAGACAGAUUUUAGGGAAGGUUUUCUGCCUUCCAAAUUCGGUUUUAAAAUGCAAUUUCAUCCUCACAGGCCUGCCUGUUGGUUUCCAGCACAAGGGGCAUUGCCUCAGUUUGUCUGCAGUGCUGGUAAGAACAACCUACCACUGUCUCUCAUCUUCUAAAUGGUUUUUUAUGACUACAUAAAUUAAAAGCUAUAAAUAAAAAAAUCGAAGGUAAAGUUAGGCUCUGGGUUUCUUCAGAAGGAAAAGUAGUGGGUAUCCUUUCUCAAUAAAUUAAAUGAUAAUUUAACUGGCUCCAAAGAAGGCUGAACCCCAUGCACUUUACUUCUGUGGUCUGAGACUGAACACACAGUAAGUAGAAAGGGGACUUUUUUCCCAAAUAAUCAGCAAGAAAUGACAGUGGGCCUUGGGUCUCUGAGAGCACCCAUGAUUGCAGCACAUAACAUCUGCACGUCCUAACUGGGAUGUCACUGCCUUUGCAUGCAAUGGGGAGAGCCCAGUGCUCUGCCCCCUGUUCCACCUUGUGCUUGCUCAGGUAUGCUGGGCACUGCAGCCCCCACUGAACCUGGUAUAUUCACCAGGUGCCCUGUAGCAGUGCUUUGUAAUUUCUUCUCCUUCUUUUGUCCUUUUAGGUUUUUGCACUGGCAGCAUUCAACACUACUAGGUCACUGUAUUAGCAUGUUCUUUAGGCUCAGCUGUAUGAGGUAGUAUUUUCAACUCACGUCAGCUCCAAAGCAAGUGCCACUGAAAAACAACAACAACAAAAGAACUUAAAUGAAAAAGAUCAAGCUUAGGAUUAGCCUUGUUGUUGUGUUGUCCAUGUGCAUUCAUUUUUCAGUUCCGAUUAGUCAUGCACUUAAGGGAUAGGAAGUUCACAAAAGGGCAGCCAAAUCUCGUGUUCAGAACUGGAGCACUGGAAGGAAAAACCAGCAUUUAAACCAGAAAAAUAUGAGCCCACGAUUGCAAUGAAAUCUCAAAGGUUAAUGCGAGAUGUGUUCAUAACUGCUUUUGCUGGGGAAAACAACCCCAGCCUCUGCCAUGCAAUUACAUAUUUAAGCUCUGUGGAAAAGAUUUGUUUACUGAGUGAGAAAGGCAUACACGUCAGGCUGCUGGGCCGAGAGUCCUGUGUAAUCAUCACAGGCUGCAACACAAACACAACCGUUUGAAGACCCUUGACAUCUGAUUAGUGUUUUUCUCUUACAGAGUGAGGAGAGUUUGGACCUUAAAAGGAAAAUGAGCUAAGUUGCUUUAGUUAGUAGGGCCAGAGAGAAAGAAAUGAAGAAUGACUCUGGACAGAGGUAAGUAUAUACUAAAGCUUACAAGGAAACUGAUGCCAAGCAGAUUGUAAUAAACUCCAAAUAUAGAUGGACUCACGUGUGCAGAUGCCAAAACAACUGUUUCUAUGUAAUUCUAAGAAGGAAAUGCAAAAAACUUCAAAAGCACAAAUAUGUGAUAACUGGGAAACGCUCUACUUUUUAUAUUUAUAUUCACCCCUUGGCACGGUCAUAGAGAAUUGAUUCUGCUCUCUUAAAAACAACAGCUGUUCACUGCUCAAGGCUGUUUCUGGAUCUGCACCAUGUACACUAGUGCAACAGGGACCCAAGUUUAUGCUGUUGUAGCCCAUCUGUACUGGGCCUUGACCCACAUAGCUCCGUCAGUACAAAUAUUGGUGCAUUGGCCAGCAACACCAGUAGCAAAGGUGACUGGACACAAAUUUGUCUCAGAUGUACAAAGAAAAUGAUAAAUACCAGCAAUCUGUGGGGCUAUUUUCAUGCUAUUUUCAGGCAAAUGUGAUUUGUGAGGUGGUGGCUGCUUCACAGGCAGCGAGUCACGGAAGCUUAGCCUCUGCAGCAUCUCUCUUUUCCUUAGGCAGCACUUCCCAGGGCAGUAUCAGCUGUAGGUAAGAGCAGUGUUUUAGGGCUUGUGCUGACAGCACAGAGUGAGCAGAACCUGCUGUCAAGCCAGAACAGGUAGGGAAAACAUAGGAAGAGGAUAUACGAAAGUGAAACACAUUUCAUGCCAGAAAGGUCGGACUUUCAGGUGUGGAUGAAGCCAGAAGUAAUGUGACAUCCUGCUCCAAGCACUUUCUCCAGUUACUCCUGGUCUGCAGCUGCUGUCAGCAUAAAAGCAGGCAUGGAAGCAGCACUGGUUGGAGCUUGGCUACACCAGGCACUGAGUGAGAUGGAAUGAGAUGCAGCACAACUGCUAUAUCCUUCUAUCCUGGUAUUCUAGUAUAAAGACUUCAGGUUGUUAAUCUGAUGCCUGCAGGAAUCUUUCCAUAUGAAAAAAUGAAUGUUUUUUUCUCUAUUAUGUGCUUCACUAAUAAACCACUUUGAAGAUUCUUGGAAUUAACAU
ensembl:lncRNA